GGGGCUGAUUAAUGGAUUCGACAAAAUUAUAAAGCUUGUAGAGCAUGUCAAGGGAUACAGUAGGCCUUGUAAAAAAACUGUAUAAUUAUAAAUGCAAAAAAUAAUAACUACGCUUUAGCAGCUUAAAAACUGUAAAAGUCCUAUAAUUUAUUACUGGCUCUUCGGAAUAAAUAUAUGGGUCAUAUCAUCAAAGAGAUCGUAUAUAGUAUGUCUAGAAUUAUAUAUUAAAAAUAUAGACUAAGAUAUUAUAUAACUUUGUUCAUCAGUGUAUAAUAUUGAAUAUAAUGAUGAAACUAAACAUGUAGUUUCGAAAAGUGUAAUAUUUUUGGACGGGGGUUCGAAUCCCCCCAGCUCCAUAA
rnacentral:tmRNA from 1 species